rnacentral:rRNA from 1 species
GACAGAGGUGCCGAGCGUUAGGCGGAAUCACUGGGCUUAAAGCGUGUGUAGGCGGAUGGGUAAGUACCUUGUGAAAUCCCACGGCUCAACCGUGGAACUGCUCGGUAUACUGCUCGUCUUGAGCCAACUAGGGGCGACCGGAACAAACGGUGGAGCGGUGAAAUGCGUAGAUAUCGGGAGGAACACCUGUGGCGAAGGCGGCCCCCUGGUUGGAUACUGACGCUGAUACGCGAAAGCGUGGGGAGCAAACAGG